rnacentral:rRNA from 1 species
AAAUCCUUGGGCUUAACCCAGGAACUGCAUUUAAAACUGCGGGACUCGAACGUGAGAGAGGGCAAUGGAAUUUUUGGUGUAGGGGUGAAAUCCGUAGAUAUCAAGAGGAACGUCAGGGGCGAAAGCGAUUGCCUGGAUCACAGUUGACGCUGAGGCACGAAAGCGUGGGGAGCAAACAGGAUUAAAUACCCUGGUAGUCCAC